CACACUUCAUCAGACCCAAAAUAUCCUAGACAUAUCUAAAAGAGAUAUGUUAGGGAAUAAACCAAAGUAUAAUUUCAUAUAUAUAAGGUACCAUGGUGAUCUCAGGUCAAAAGAUUACUUGCAUCACUCCUACUAGAGAACUAUCUAUCGACAUACUGUAAGGCUCCAUCAGAUGUUCUUUUUGUGGAUUAGUUCAGUAAAUUCAUUCUCUAAUGAGCAUCUAUAUUCUUAUAUUAGUGUCACCAC
rnacentral:lncRNA from 1 species